rnacentral:rRNA from 1 species
UACGUAGGGUGCGAGCGUUAAUCGGAAUUACUGGGUGUAAAGCGUGCGCAGGCGGUCUGUUAAGACCGAUGUGAAAUCCCCGGGCUCAACCUGGGAACUGCAUUUGUGACUGCAUCGCUGGAGUGCGGCAGAGGGGGAUGGAAUUCCGCGUGUAGCAGUGAAAUGCGUAGAUAUGCGGAGGAACACCGAUGGCGAAGGCAAUCCCCUGGGCCUGCACUGACGCUCAUGCACGAAAGCGUGGGGAGCAAACAGG